AGAGUUUGAUCCUGGCUCAGGACGAACGCUGGCGGCGUGCCUAAUACAUGCAAGUCGAGCGGGUGACCUACGGGUCAUCAGCGGCGGACGGGUGAGUAACACGUGGGCAACCUGCCCUUCAGACUGGGAUAACGCCUGGAAACGGGUGCUAAUGCCAGAUAGGUUUUUCUUCCGCAUGGGAGGAGAAGGAAAGGCGCUACGGCGCUACUGAGGGAUGGGCCCGCGGCGCAUUAGCUAGUUGGGGGGUACGGGAC
rnacentral:rRNA from 1 species